CCUACGGGAGGCUGCAGUGAGGAAUAUUGGUCAAUGGCCUUACGCCUGAACCAGCCAAGUCGCGUGAGGGAAGACUGCCCUAUGGGUUGUAAACCUCUUUUGUCAGGGAGCAAUUGGCGCUACGUGUAGCGUUAUCGAGAGUACCUGAAGAAAAAGCAUCGGCUAACUCCGUGCCAGCAGCCGCGGUAAUACGGAGGAUGCGAGCGUUAUCCGGAUUUUUUGGGUUUAAAGGGUGCGUAGGCGGAAUGUCAAGUCAGCGGUAAAAGCGCGGGGUUCAACCUCGCUCCGCCGUUGAAACUGGCGUGCUUGAGUGGGCGAGAAGUAUGCGGAAUGCGUGGUGUAGCGGUGAAAUGCAUAGAUAUCACGCAGAACUCCGAUUGCGAAGGCAGCAUACCGGCGGCGAACUGACGCUGAAGCACGAAAGCGUGGGUAUCGAACAGGAUUAGAUACCCGAGUAGUC
rnacentral:rRNA from 1 species